rnacentral:misc_RNA from 1 species
GUGCGGACCAGUUCCAUAUAAAGAUUGCAGCAGAAUUACGAGUUAAAAACAAGACAAAAUACAAGGAUUUUCUUUUCCUGGACGCUGUUUAUUCUUCUGCAGGGUAUACAAGAAAAUUACACAGGCGUAAAAUUGUAUAUUCAUCAUGAGUUCUGUCUUUAAUUUUGGUGUUGCGCUAUUGACCUCAAGUUACUGUACAUGUCUGUACAUGCUUGGGCAAUAUCAGUCAUCGCUCUAAAGAGCUCUGGCAAGAGAGUUUUGAGACUAGUCAAAGACUUGUCCCUCACCUGUACACUAAGCUUUUGGCAUGCUUCCUCUUCUUCUUCCAACUGCUUGCUCAGUGAAUCCAAGAUAAACUGUCUCUCUACCAUAGCAUCCCUGUGGGGAUUGUCUUCUGCCCCAUCAGGAUCAGAUUCAUUAUUUGCAAACCCUAUCAUAUGCUUUUUUUUCCAUUCUUCAAAUUGCCUGGUCUUUCGGUCGAGCUCCUUUCGCGUGGCCUCGCAUUUUUCUCUCAUCUUCAUCUCAUCUUCUUGAUGAUUCAUGAUGCUCUGCAAUACAGCAGCAAAAUUACUAAUUGCACUUCUUGCAACCUCAUCUGGAAGUUUUUCCAAAUCAUCAUGCCAAGCUAUGAGAAGCGCAUGAAUUGGA